GCCAGGGUGGCGUAGUGGUUAGCGCAUCUGCCUAGUGAGCUGGAGACCUGGGUUCGAAUCCCAGCCUUGAAGCA
rnacentral:tRNA from 1 species